AUGAAAUUCGUCACUGAAUAUUCUGUCUUCAAAGUCUCAGUUCUAGAUUCUAUUCAUAGCAAUUCGGGUAAGUCCCUGCCUUGUUAGGAUUGAUCGUCCCAAAAGCUAGGUUCGCUUGCAUGUGCAAAAUCUGUAUGCUUUGUUAGUAAUUUUCUUGUUUAUUGCGAACCAACCAGACCAUCUUCUAACAAGGACAAAGGUAAAGCCAAAUUCAUUUAAGUUUCUUCGUUUCCGGCGAGUGGUCUGAGAUUAUUUCGAUUAUGUUCUUUAUUAUGUUAACCGUAAUGUUUUCUAAAAAGGAAUCUCUAAUUUCGAAACCCAAAAGUAAGUUUUUUGAAAAGUUCUGUUUAAGCUACGAAACUAUAUUUUAAAAGUAUAAUUUUGAAAGGAUGAUUUUAAACCACAAUUUUAUGCGAGCGCCUAUACGAUCCAAUGUUUUAAGAAUGUUUUGAAAAGAACGGUUUUUAAACUGUUUUAAAGGCAAUUAACGUGCAAGCUUUUAUAAGCAAAUGUUUUUCAAUUCACUUUAUGCGAGCUCCCUAUUAAAGCUCAGCUUUGUACGAGCUCUCUCAUUUGUGUGAGCUCCUUUGAGAGCUUUCUGAUUGGUAUACCAAAAAGUGUGAGUACUCACUAAGCUUUUGUUUCAUUCUACGUGUUCCUUUGAGAACAAGGUUGGGUAUUUAUAUAUCCAACGAGACGAAGUUUUGCUCCUCAGUGAGCCUAGCUCUAUAUAUGAGUUUUCUGUGAUAUGUUUCAUUCUACGUGCUCUCUUGCAAACUAGGUUGGAUAUAAACAUAUUCAACGAGAGAAAGACUCUGUUUGACGAACCAAUCGUGCGACCAAAGGCUGACUCUAUUCGAGAUUUUGAUACGUGUGAAUUGGUCCUGCAACCGAAGCCAAACCUUGUUUAAAGUUUUCUGAAAAUUAUGUACGAGCUGGCUUCGCGGCCUAAGGCGAGCCCCUUUUAAAGCAAGUUUUCAAAGAAAUGAUUAAUAAGCAUCGUUUUUUUUUUAAAUUGUUUCCACAAAAGAUGUUUUUCUGAUGAAAGAUGCGAAAUGGGUCACGCCAUCUUACCCACGAACCCAGCACGCAGAACGUUUACAAACUAAAGUUUCUACUGUUUUCAAACACUAUUUUUAAAGCAUAACGUUUCUGAUUAUUCACUGAGUUCUCAAUGAACUCACCCACUUUUUUCUUACUUCUCAAGUAAGUCACGGAUAGCAUUGGCGAGGUCGACACUAAUAUUGGUGAACCAUAGCGAUGGGCGAUGGGACUUUAUUAUGUUGUUUAGAACAAUAUUUAUAUCGUUGAUUUGAUUACUGAACAAUUUACUUAAAGUUGAAUUUAGUAUGUUUUAUUUUUAAGUUAAUUUUAUUCAUGCGAACAAACAUAUGUUCUAUUUCCAUUAUUAAUAAAUCGAUGUUAUUCAUACAUGUGUAUUUUCGUGGUUUGUGAACCACGUAUGUUGCAUAAAUUACUUGUGUACUCUUGGUGUUAAUUUAUUUACAUGUGAACCACUGUAUGCUGAUUACAAACGUACCCCUAUUGUGAUAGUUUUAUUACAUGAGGGACCCUAGGUAUGGUUACCAUAUUUACAUGCAUACCCUUAUCUUUGCAAACCCUUACAUGUUUCUGAGAACCCUGUUUAAGUGUAAUAUUCCUUGUUGCAUGCAUGUUUUCCUUGUUUGCAAAGACUAAUAAUUAGUGAAACUAUGAUUUAUGAGAAUUUUAGGUGUUAUGUGAACUGUUGUGGACUUAAAAGUUUUAUAUCCUUGUAUGCGAACUAUUAUAUCUUGCGAAUUCAUGUUUUUGUGCGAACCUAUAUUGAACUGUGAACUCAUGUUUGUGUGUUGGCCUACGAUCUCUUAUGAUUUUAAGGUAUGCGAGCUAUGUUUGAAUGUUAUGUGAAAGGUUUAAGUGAUGUGAAACUGUAAAUGUUUCUAAGUAUAUAACAAUCAUCGUUUUGCAUGAUUAUGUACUUUGAUCUAUUUUGCAUGCAAACCCUUGUGUUAUAUGAAUGCAUCACUUCCAUUGCUUUGUUAAAGUUUAAACACCUUAUUCGCAUGCUAUCUCUAAGUGGUGUGUUGGAGGUUAGGUUAGGAGUUAACGGAGAGUCACAUCGGUGGUUAAUGUGACACGCUGGAUUCGGGUCAAAUCUUCUCAGUCGGGUAUGAGGUGUUACAGGGACUUACAAAUUCACUAGGUUGAUAGCCAAAUAGUCUCUAGUUAAUUUAAGUAGCCAAGGCAUCACUAGAUAGGAUAUCGCAACCACUAGCCAAACAUAUAUUGCCGUGAGCGCUUUAUCAUUCAAUUUCAAGUAUAACUUGCAAAUCAAUGCAAUACAAUUUCAUAAACAACAAUCAGCUAUACAGAUAACAAAAUUAGGAAAACUAAUGGCACUCGAACUAGUAUCAAAUUUUCAUUCUGCACCUAAGCAGAUUUCUUUGUUUAAAGCGACCCCUGAAAUAUGUAACAUAUUUUAAUCCCAUUCUUAAUGCGUUUUUUGAUGAUUAAUUAUGCAAAUUAGUGAAUUUGAUGCUCAUAAUCCUUUACAUUCAUGUUUUUAUUCUUAGGAGAGCAUUUGAGACCGAAAGGAGCGAAAAACAAGCCAAAAAGGACAAAUAGAGUUGUUUUCAGGAUCCACACGGCCUGGGCAUUUCCACACGGGUAAGCCACACGCCCGUAUGAGCCACAUGGGCUGGCCACACGCCCAUGUGCCAACCCGUGUCGAUUUUGCACCCUGCUUCCAAAAUACGCAGAAAAACUCAAUUUUUAGGCUUUUUGAGCAUUCCAAAGUUUAUAAAUAGCAAUUAAAAGAGGACCUAAGGGGGCAAUCAGAGGAGAUCGAAGAAAACACUCAAAGAAUGCCAUCAAAAUCAACUCGGAAGUGGAACCCCCUCAAGAUCAAAGAUCUCUAUUUAAUUUCUUUUGAAGUUUUAUUGAGUUUCUGUUAUGUCUUGUGGUUAUCCUAACUUUGAGAUAUUUCUAUUUAGGAUUAUGAACUAAUCUAGAUACCUAGGGAGGAUGAAACCUAUGAUGAAUUCUAUGAUGAAUGUUAUUAUUUAAUUUCUGUUUUUAUGUAAUAAAUACUUGAUUCUUGUUCUCAAUUAUGUAUGCUUAUUUCGUGUUUU
rnacentral:lncRNA from 1 species